AUUGAACGCUGGCGGCAGGCUUAACACAUGCAAGUCGAGCGGAGAUGAGGUGCUUGCACCUUAUCUUAGCGGCGGACGGGUGAGUAAUGCUUAGGAAUCUGCCUAUUAGGGGGGGACAACAUUCCGAAAGGAAUGCUAAUACCGCAUACGCCCUACGGGGGAAAGCAGGGAAUCUUCGGACCUUGCGCUAAUAGAUGAGCCUAAGUCGGAUUAGCUAGUUGGUGGGGUAAAGGCCUACCAAGGCGACGAUCUGUAGCGGGUCUGAGAGGAUGAUCCGCCACACUGGGACUGAGACACGGCCCAGACUCCUACGGGAGGCAGCAGUGGGGAAUAUUGGACAAUGGGCGGAAGCCUGAUCCAGCCAUGCCGGGUGUGUGAAGAAGGCCUUUUGGUUGUAAAGCACUUUAAGCGAGGAGGAGGCUACCUGGAUUAAUACUCUAGGAUAGUGGACGUUACUCGCAGAAUAAGCACCGGCUAACUCUGUGCCAGCAGCCGCAGUAACAC
rnacentral:rRNA from 1 species